rnacentral:rRNA from 1 species
UGGGGAAUAUUGCACAAUGGGCGCAAGCCUGAUGCAGCGACGCCGCGUGAGGGAUGAAGGCCUUCGGGUUGUAAACCUCUUUCAGCAGGGAAGAAGCGCAAGUGACGGUACCUGCAGAAGAAGCGCCGGCUAACUACGUGCCAGCAGCCGCGGUAAUACGUAGGGCGCAAGCGUUGUCCGGAAUUAUUGGGCGUAAAGAGCUCGUAGGCGGUUUGUCGCGUCUGCUGUGAAAACUCGAGGCUCAACCUCGGGCUUGCAGUGGGUACGGGCAGACUAGAGUGCGGUAGGGGAGACUGGAAUUCCUGGUGUAGCGGUGGAAUGCGCAGAUAUCAGGAGGAACACCGAUGGCGAAGGCAGGUCUCUGGGCCGCAACUGACGCUGAGGAGCGAAAGCAUGGGGAGCGAACAGGAUUAGAUACCCUGGUAGUCCAUGCCGUAAACGUUGGGCACUAGGUGUGGGGCUCAUUCCACGAGUUCCGUGCCGCAGCAAACGCAUUAAGUGCCCCGCCUGGGGAGUACGGCCGCAAGGCUAAAACUCAAAGAAAUUGACGGGGGCCCGCACAAGCGGCGGAGCAUGCGGAUUAAUUCGAUGCAACGCGAAGAACCUUACCAAGGCUUGACAUACACCGGAAACUUCCAGAGAUGGUUGCCCCGCAAGGUCGGUGUACAGGUGGUGCAUGGUUGUCGUCAGCUCGUGUCGUGAGAUGUUGGGUUAAGUCCCGCAACGAGCGCAACCCUCGUCCUAUGUUGCCAGCGGGUCAUACCGGGGACUCAUAGGAGACUGCCGGGGUCAACUCGGAGGAAGG